CAGCCCCUCCCGGGCAUCGAGGUCCUGGUGGGAAAUCCUCCCCUCCUUCUCUCCCUCAGGUGGUUUUGAAAGGCGACGCCCCCAGGCUGAUCGUGCACGGGGUUCCCCACGUUCACAGCCGCCCUCAAGCUCCGUCUCACCUCCCACAGCAGGCCUGCGCCGUCUGCCUGGAGGAUUUUCGGCUGCAGGAGGAGCUGGGGGUGCUGCCGUGCCAGCACGCCUUCCACAGAAAGUGAGUGUGGCUGGCAGAGCGGGCCGGGAGCGCGGAAUUCCCAGCGGGAAUGGCCAUUCCCGUGUUCCUGCCCGCAGGUGCCUGCUGAAGUGGCUGGAGGUGCGCUGCGUGUGCCCCAUGUGCAACAAACCCGCGGCGGAGCCCCGGGCCGGCAUCGGGACCCUCCUGGAUGAGCUGGUGUGAUCCAGCGGGAUCCAGCGGGAUCCAUUGUGAUCCACCACGAUCCAGUGGGAUCCAUGGCAAUCCAGCGGGAUCCAGUGGGAUCCACGACAAUCCAGCGGGAUCCAUCACGAUCCAGUGGGAUCCAUCGUGGUCCUGCAGGCUUCACCACAAUCCACCAUGAUCCAGUGGGAUCCACUGCAAUCCAUCGAGAUCCACCAUGAUCCAGUGGGAUCCACUGCAAUCCAUUGAGAUCCAGCAGGAUCCAGUGGGAUCCACUGCAAUCCAGUGAGAUCCAGCAGUAUCCAUGGUGAUCCAGCAGGAUCCAUUGUGAUCCACCACGAUCCAGUGGGAUCCACGGUGAUCCAGCAGGAUCCAUUGUGAUCCACCACGAUCCAGCGGGAUCCACGGAAAUCCAGCUGGAUCCAUCAUGAUCCAGCAGGAUCCAUUGUGGUCCUGCAGGCUUCACCGCAAUCCACCACGAUCCAGUAGGAUCCACGGCAAUUCAGCAGGAUCCACUGUGAUCCAUCGAGAUCCACCAUGAUCCAGUGGGAUCCAUCACGGUCCAUCGUGAUCCAGCGGGAUCCACUGCAAUCCAGCGAGAUCCAACGGGAUCUACGGCGAUCCAGUGGCAUCCAUAGCGAUCCA
rnacentral:lncRNA from 1 species